GAGACGCGAGGCUGGCCGGGGUUUGGGGUUUCCGGGAGGCGAGUCGUCUGUUCGCAGCGCGGCGGGGUUGACGUGUGCGACUGUGCGGAAUGCGCUCGCCCGUGCGUGCACACCCGCGAGCGUUCCUCCCGUCUGCACCGGUGUUUGCAUUCCUGUACUUACACACCUGGGCGCCCCCGGAGUCUGCACACCUGUGCGCGCACACUUGGGAGCGUCCCGAGCCGCGUCAGCCGGCGUCGCCGCCGGGCGAGCCAUUUUAGCAGCCUGCGGCGUGCGGGCAUCCGGCAGAAGCUGCCUCCCUCCGCGGGCGCGUCGGAGAGCACCACUUAGCGCUUAGCGGGAAGCGAGCGCGUCUGGGGCUGUCUUCCUGGGAGAGGGCGCUGCUGCAGAAGGGGUUGAAAGAUCCCUUUGUGAGUUUACGGAAAGCGGGGGCUCAAUCAAAGGCCGGGAUCGUCCCACUUCUGUUAUUCCGGGAGUGGAUUCCCAGUAAAAGCCGGUUGGAGAGCCCCAUCCUGAGAACUGCAGCAUCCCACGAGAGAAGACCCUGAGUUCCGAGGUCGGGUGUGGCCCGCACCCGCUGUCCGCGGCCCCCACAGGCCCACCCCCAGCAUCCACGCGCACCCUGUUCCCCAGGAAGGAGCGCCGUGAUUGUUAACCGCUUCCAAUAAGGACUUCACGGCGAGGUGGAUGGAAAUUCCAAAGGAAGGGAGAAUAGAUUAUGCAGGACAGCUUGGCUAAAUCAAGGAGUAAAUAGUGUGCAUUUCUACUGAAUGCAGGUGUCUGGUAUUCCAAAAGUCCGCCAGAACCAUAGAAGACAAGCAAUGGGUAACCUUUUUUCUUUUUUUUUUUUAAGAUUUUAUUUAUUUGAGAGAGAGAGAGAGCAUGUGCGUGUGCACAAGCUGGGGGAGGAACAGAGAGAGAGGUACAAGCAGACUCCCCACUGAGUGCAGAGCCUGACACGACACGGGGGGCAGGGCGGGGGAGGGGGUCGAUCCCAUGACCCCAGGUCUGUCUUGACCUGAGUGGAAAUCAAGAAUUGGAGGCUUAACCCACUGAGCCAUCCAGGCACCCUGCAAUGGGUACCUUUUAAUAUAAUGGAGUUUGAACAACCCAGGUCCUGCUAGAUAUUCUAAGUGUUGGAUGGGGGUUCAGAAAACUAGGUCUCAUCUUAGACCUGUUUUGAGGUGAGUCAGGUAAAAUCUCUAGAUCAUUUUCUUCAUUCUUAAAUGGGGACUAUUCUGUCCCCUGUAUCAAGUUUGUGAACAUUAGAAGAAUAUAUGUGUAAGUACUUGGCAAAGUAUAUAAAUAUUUUGAUUAAGAUAAAGUUUUCUUAUAAAUUAAGUGUUAAAAUUUUGUUACAUGGAAGGUUCAAUAUUUAUUUAGUAGGAACACACACCAAAUUAUAAUGUUAAAAGCAAAAAUGGUUCAAAAUACAAAUACUCGCUUGAAAUACAAUUUUUGAGGACUGUGUGCUGUGUGUGAUGGGUAUCAUCUCUUUUCCGGCUUUUAAAAAUACAACUUUAUUGCUUUUGGGAGAAAGAACACAUGAAUACUCUAAGGAAUUGAACAGUGUGGAAAAGAGCGAGGGAAAAGUCAAAACUCACAGCGUUUCCACUGCCUGUGGUGACCGCCGUGAAUUUCUGGAUGAACAGCCUCCUGAUGGCUUUACGCACAUCCACCUUUGCACAGGGAUCUGUUGUAUGUAAAUGGUCAAAUACUCUGCGUGCUGGUUGGUAAUCUGUCCCGUCCUCCUACACGUGGAGGGCACCAUUCUGUGUCCGUAAAUUAUAUUCUUCCUGGGUACUUUCUUGUUAGGUAGAUGUGUCCUGAUUUAUGUAACCAAUCCUCUCUUUUUUUUUUUUUAACACAUUUCAUUGUUUAGUUUGCCUCCUGUGAUUGUCUCCUUAGGUAAGUCUCUGUAAGCGGCGUUGCUGGAUGAGAAGUUACAUGCUUUGUGCGUUUUGUUGCCUGUCCCCGGAGUGCCCACGGUGAUCCUACUAGUGGCCGCAGCCCUGCCUUGCACUCCAGUGAGACUUGCUCUCCCCAGGGCUUUGUUUUCUUUAGUGACUGAGAGACCUAGUUGAUUACCCUCCUCUCCUGAAUUAUUUGGGUGUGUGUUUUUCUCAGCAGGGGCAGCGUAUGGAAACAGUUUUUUCUCCUUUAGCAUAUACAUUUUCUUAAAAAUGCAGCUGUAGCAAGUAUCAGCUGUUUAUCCUAAAACUUGCAGCGCCAGUCCAGUUUCGAGCACUCGGGCACGUGGCCUGAGGUAGCAGCGGCGUAAGGGGGAUGGAAAUAGCAGUGGCUCCCUGCCCUUCUCUGUCUUGAUGAAGUGUAGUUCUUUUCUGUUAUCUUUGAAUCUGGUUUUCUUGGGAGCACCUGUUUAUGUGUCCAUAUUUAUUAACUGGCUGCUUGUGUCUUAGAUCAGGAGAGUGAAUUGAAGAAAUUCUACUCUGGGCAAGUAGAAUUUGGUCUGAGCAGCCUGUUGGUAAGUGAUCCCUGCUCACUGGGAGCUGACGUCAAGAAGUCACGUUCUUGGUGCAGAGUUGUGUCUGUGGUCAGGCCCAUGAGGUCCCCGUGUCCAGACGGGUGGCCCUGAGCCAGCACUGCUGCUGGGGAGGAAUGGGAUGCUAGGUAGGGGAGGUGGGAGAGGGAGGGCGGCAUUCAUGGCUCCACCCCAGUCAAGGGCCUUCUGUACCGGCUUUCAAGGGGGGGCAACCUGUUGCUCCUCGGCAGUGAAGGCCUAGAGCGUGGGCUUUCCCACCCGUGUCUUGGAGGGCCGGCUGUUGCUUAUCAUGGACAGGCUGUUCACUGAGUUUUGCACAGCUGUGUCGAAAUUGGCCGGGACACAAAAUAUACCCAGCCUGCUUUCUCCUCCUCCUGUCUUCAGGAAGUGUUAACUAAAUGUCAUGUGUACUCCCUCCCUUGGUAGAGAUCCCUGGUGGACUCAUGGUAGAAAUGAUAGCAGGGGACACUCAUUGAACGUUGCUUGGCACUGAGUCUGUGCUAGAUAGUACGCUGAGUGCUUUUUGUGCACAAAUCCCUCCUUUGCAUUUGUACUUUUAAUCCCCAAAAUGAUCCUCCUAGGUUGGCAGUGGGUUCUCCUUUUUAAGGGUAAGAGAACGAAGUCAGUGACUUGCUCCAGUCACAUGGCCAGUAAGGACAAAGUCAGGAUUAAAGUAUGGAUUGCAGGACUCCCCAGCCCACGUUGUUCAGCUAACCCCAUGACCAGGGCAUGAGACCUGGGAUAACUGGGAGAGCUUUAGGAGACAAGAGCCAUCCAUUGGGUACAUAGUUGCUGUCAUUUGCUUUGAGGUUUCCACCCCAUGUCCAGAGAUCACUGCAGGAACCAGGGAGAAAGCAAAGAGAAAUUGGGAAUGGAAAUAUUUGAACAAAAAGAAAACUCUUGGAAGGUCAAAGGGCAAAAAUGUGCCUUUCUUUCUAUCUGUUGUUAUUUUACUAUGUUGCCUUCUAGAAGGUGAAGGAGAUCACCAGCCAUUCUAGUUUCUUACAGGAGGUUUUUUAAGUAGAGGGUCUUGGUGGAGUCUUCAAGGACUCUGUUCCUAACACAGAUGACACCUGGAUGGUCUUAAGAACCAGUGUCCUGUUGUUUAAGGAAGAGAUUGUUUUACGUGUACGUUAGAAAUGUGUGCAGAGUGAAAUGCUGUUUUGGAUAGGCUUCUUAAGUAAGUGCCCUGGGGGGGCUUGUUCUGAAGGGAAAUCUGAUGAGGUUCCUGCUCUGAUAAAAACCCUGUGUAGGUUCAGCUAAUCCCCUCCUGCCCCUUCCCACCCCCUCGCUGACUGUGGGUCCUCAUCCCCGGAGCUGUGUGUGACCCCCUGCCUUGCCCUGUCUGCCUGUGUCACCAUUCCGCUUAACGUUGCAGCCUUGGGACCCCCCCCCACCACCAGGAAGGUGUCCCCCCUUUCUUGCUGCUUCCCUUCUGUCUUCUUGAUUGUAUCUGCCACGAGGUUGCGGUACUGGCCAGACUCUAUCCUGUGUUCCUCAGAGCAUGACCUCACCCAGGCUCCAAGAUUUCACUGGUUCCGCCAAACUGGUAGUUGCUUUGAGUUUUCAGUUUGAGGAAUGUAUGUUGUUACUCUAUUAGAAAUGUAACUUCUUGAAGAAAAUAAAAAAACUUCAUUUUGUGGAAACAGAUUGCCAUUUCUCUGCUUAAUUCUUUUCAAUGGCUUUCUGUUGCAUUUAUAAUAAAAUCCCAUCUCUGUGUCCUGGUUUAAUGAGAUCUGUGUGAUCUGGCCCGCACCGCAGGUAGUAAUACUAUCCCCCUGCCCUCCACCCCUCGCUCAGGCCCUCUCUGUUUCUCAGACAAGUCAGGCUUGUUUCUGCCAUAAACCUUUGUAUUAGUCCCCCUCUGCCUGGUGUAUAUCCCCUUGAUCUCUACCCUCUUGAGAUCCCGGCUCAGUAUCUUCGCAAUACCAGGAAUCUUAUGUCCCAUCGUCCUGCUUUGCUUCUCUGUUAAUACUUUGAUACCCGCUGUUUUUCUGGUUUGCCUGCUUACAGCCUUACAACCUGCCCCACCAGACGGCGGAGCCCCUGUCCAUCUUACUCACUGCUACAUAUCCUGGCACGUCGUAGUAAGUGCUCAGUAAAUACCCCUUAAGUGGGUAGAGGAGGAGAGAGUCUGAUGGAGGGACACAGACACAUUCCCUAUACUGUCUUAUUUCUUUUUUUCUCUCUUUCCCCACAAAUGUUACCUACUAGUGUUAUUAUGACAUGAUCCUUUCUUGGUCCAUAGACGUUUGCCUGGAAUUCUGUCCCAGAGACUUAACAUUUAGAAACUGGAGAGACUUUGUAAGGACAGUUCCAGUUAUGGCCUAGCCUCAGAGUGUGGACUCUAAGAAUGACACCGAGCAAGGCUCCUAGGAAGUGCAGAGGAGAAAGUGGAGAGUCAAAGCCUGGGGUUUCCGGUACAGUCUGCCAAAAGCCAGUGAGCCCACUUCCUUCUGCUCACCCAGAGUCCCUUCUUCAGCUACCUACUGUUCUUCUGCAAGAACACGCCCCCUCCUCAGCCCUCACCCCACUGGGUGGUUCUCGCUCAUGUCCAAGCAUGCCUUAUUGUUGCUGUCCUAAAACACACUCACACAGGGCCCCUCUUUACUUCCCCCUCCUGGCGCUCCUUGUUGUCUGCUCCCUUUUGGAGUAAAAUCCUGAGAAGGUUGUUAAGCCUUCUGCCUUCAGUUUGUCUUCGCUGUUCUCUUAAACAGUUUACCCUAACCGUUCUUGCUAAGGUCUGCAGUGAUGCCGCUGGUCCAUUCGCAACUCUCCUCUGCUUGAUUCUCCUGCACCCCGUGACCAGAUGUUCCUCUCUCGGAGACACUUUUUACAAGUGGCUCCCAGUGCCCUUCUCUCCCACCACCCUGGUCCUGCUCUCUCUCCCUUCUGACCUGGGGCGGGGGGGGGGGGGGGGGGGAGUGCCCUCCAGCCCAGUGCUUUGUACUUUCCCGGGGCCAUCUCAUUCAAUGUCAUGGCUUUGAAUAUGCUGGCAGCUUCUGAAUUUUUAUCUCCAGGGCAAAAAGACCUCUUCCAUAGCCUUGGGAUUGUAUCCACAGUCUGCUUCACAUCUCCACUUAGAUGUCUGCUAGGCCCCUUACAUCUUACGUAUUAAAAACUCAGCUGACCUUCCCUUGUAAAAUUGGCGCCAUUGUCCCACGCACCCACUUCAGUUGAUGACCAUUCUGUCCAUUGGCUCAGGUCAAGAACCUUGAGGUCAUAGCUGACUCUUCUCUUACCUCACACCCUUACCUUACACCACACACUCACACAUGAAUCCAGGAGGACAUUCUGUGGUCUCCAAUUUUAUAAUCGUCAGAUUCUAAUUUUUCCCACCUCUCCUGCUGUCUCCCUGGUCUGAGUACCAUUGCUCCUCGCCUGGUGUCCCUUGCCUGGGACAGCAGACUCUCACUACAGUAGAGUGGCCUUUUAAAAGGUAAGUCAGAACACACCGCUUUCUUGUAUAAACCUUUUCAUGACGAAUUACACCACCUGAUUUAAGACUUAGGCGAUAGCUACAGCAAUCAAGAAAAGUGUGGUCCUGGCAGAGAAACCUACACAUAGAUCAGUGGGACAGAGUAGAGAACCCAGAGGUAGACCCAUGCAAAUACUUCCAACCGGUUUUUGACAAAGAUGCAGAAGCAAUUUGAUCAAGGAAGGGCAGCCUUUUCAACAAAUGGUUCAGGAACAAUUGGACAUUAGUAGUCGAAAAAUAAAUCCUGACCUAAACCUCACACUUGAUAAAAAAAAAAAACAAAAAAAAACCCAAAUGUAGGUCACAGAUCUAAAUAUAAAAUGUAAAAUAUUUUGAAGAGACUUAGGCAGAAUUCUUAGACAUGACAGUGCAAGUGUGGUCCAUAUAAAAACAGAUGGAUAAAUUGGACUAUAAAAAUGAAAAACAUUGGUUUUUUAAAAGACCCUCUUAAAGGAAUGAAAUGACAAGCCACUGGCAGAAAAUUUUUUUCUAAUCUCGUAUCUGACAAAGAACUUAUAUCCGGAGUAUAUAAAGAAUUCUCUAAAUUCAACAAUAAGGAAACAAUCCCAAUACAAAAUGGGCAAACGACUUGAAUACACAUUUCUUCCAAAAAGAUACACGGGUAGCAAAUAAACACAUGGAAAGAUGUUUAGCAUUAUUAGCCACUAGGGAAAUACAAGUUAAAACCACAGUGAGGUACCACUACAAACCUCUUAGAAAGGCUAUGAUAGGGGCGCCUGGGUGGCUCAGUUGAUUAAGUGUCCAACUCUUGAUUUAGGCUCAGGUCAUGAUUUCAGGGUCACGGGAUCAGCCAUGUUGGCCCACGUGGGGCUCCUCGUUCAGUAGGGAAUCUGCUUGAAAUUCUCUCUGUCUUCCUCUGUCCUUCCCACCCACUUGUGCAUGCACUCUCAUGCUCUCUCUCUUUUCUCUCUGACAUAAAUAAAUAAAUCUUUAAAAAAGGGGAGGGGGCUGUGAUUAAAAAAAAAAAAUACUGGUAACCCAAAUGCUGGCGAGGAUGUGGAAAUAUUAACUCUGGCAUGCAUUGCUGGUGAGAAUGCAGAAUGGUACAGAUGCUCUGGAAAUCAGCCAGCUUUUAAAACGUUAAACAUAUACUUACCAUAUGAGCCAGAAAUCAUGCUCCUAGCCAUUUGUCCGAGAGAGAUGACAACUGUGUCCGUCUGAUAACCUGUACACAAGUCCCAGCAACUGGAACAAUGCUGGUGCAUAGAGAGGACUCAGUAUUUAUUGAUUGAAUAAUUAAGAGUCUGUAAUUGUGAAAGAUUAGAGCAUUGAUAUAAAACGGCUGUUGGCGAGUAGCUUUAUGUGUCCUGUCCCCCAACUGGAAACAAGUGUUGUUUAGUGCAUCAGUGGUUAGGCUGGUACAUGCGUAGAGUGGAGUAUGACUCAGCACCAAAAAGGGAACAAAGCAACCUGAACGAAUCUCAAGGGUGUUGCGCCAGGUGAAAAAAGAUAAUCUCAGAAGAUUGCAUGCAGUGUGGUUCCAUUUAUGGGACGUUCUCAAAAUGGCAAGAUGACAGAGUGAGGAACAGAUGAGAGGUUAUGGGGUCGACUGAACGGGCAGGGGGGAGCCCUUUGUGAUGGUAGAGCUGUAGCGCAUGGCAUACACGUGGGAAAGUGCUGCAGGCUGGGACACACCAGACAGACAUGUGCGUGCCCACAGCAAUUGGCUGAGGAAGUCAGACUGCCGACCUGGGUUAUGCCAAGAUAAUGCUCUGUGCAUCUGUAAGAUGUCAUCCGUUGAGGAAGUCUGGGUGAUGGGUUCAUGGCACCAGCUCUGUACUGCUCUUACAACUUCUUGUGAGUAACUAUUUCAAUAUAGUUAAAACAGAAAAUACCUUCAGUGGCUCGCUCUCCCUUUCAUGGUUAAAGCCAGAGUCUGAUGGCUGCAGGGCCCCAUGUCGCUUGGUGCCAGUUCCGUCUCUGAUACUUCCUUCUGCCGCCGCCUUCCUGUCAUGUCCCGCUUCAGACAUACUGAUGCCCUUGUUCUUCUGUGAACGCGCCAGGACCUCUCCCACCUUAAGUACUUUGCAAUGGAAUUUAUUCCCCCAAAUAGCUGCAUAGCUCACCUGUUCCUCUUCUCAGUAAGGCUUGUCCUGACCCCUGCCCCGUUUUAAAGGGGAAGUUCUCCCAACCCCCCGCGCCCCAGCUGCAUUACCCUGCUCUAUUUUUUUCUUUUUUCUGUAGCACGCCAGCUUCUAACAUGCUGUAUAAUUUACUUAUUAUACUUAGUGCUUGUCCAUCUCCCUCUGUGAAUGCAGGAGGAUACAUUCUCCAGCAUAUGCGGAAGGAUAUAUUUCCUGCUUUAUUCCCUGAUGUUUCCCAGCAACCAGAACAAUGAUGGCACAUAGAAAGGACUCAACAAGUAUUUAUUGGAUGAAUAAUUAAAAGUUUUUAAGUGUAAUGUAUUAGAAAAUUGAUGCAGAUUGGCUAUUGGGCUAGCUUGAAUAAUUUCCCGGCAGCUUAUUUUAUUUUUGUCUUGCCCUUGGAUACAGGUUUGAGCCAAAUUUAUUGUUCUCAGCACUAGAUAGAAAAGGAAAAACAGGCCUAAGAUCUGAGGGAGAAAGUGAGAAAAGACAGUCUGGCGCCACCAUCAACCCUCUUUCCUUCCCCUUUCAUUGUCAACACAGGCUGUCCUGUCAUCUCGUCAUUUGGCCGUUCUAACAAGGUGGAUCACAGACUGUAGACUAAUAGUGCCUCAUAGAUCACUGCCCGCCUGCUGCUGGGCCCUCAAGUUUGGUGGCUUUGCUUAUUCUCCUGAGAAACAUUGGGUCGAGAUGGGUCACGAGGCAACUCCUCUCCUGGCCUCCGUGUCCCCUGCUCUUUUCCCUAGAAGUAGGCCUGUCCCUGUCCCUUCCCUCCACCCCAAGUCUCUCCUUACCUCAGAAUCGGGACUUACGUUCCUUUCGGAGAUCAGAGGAAUAGUUCUGUCAGUAAUUACCACACUUGCUUUAUUGUAUCUACGGAGAGAAGGUUAGUAUGGUAGAAUUAAUAGUAUUGGUCAAGGCAUAAUGACUAAAUGCAAAAUUCCUUUUGAUUCUGGCACGUUUUAAGCCAUUUACCAUCUCAACCCUAAAUAUAACCAAGAAGAAUUUUGCUUCUCUCUUUUCAAGGAGAGAAAAUCUUAACAGCAUUCUGUGGGAUAAUCACUAGCUCACAGCUGCAUCACGUAUCUGUUCUCAUCCCCAUGACCUUCAGGAAUGCUCUCAUGUAGGCAAUGGGUGUCGUCCUUGCAAUACGUAGUUUCUGUUAACUCUCGUCAUUAGGUUCUGUGGCUUUGUACUAUUAGGUUUAGUAAUGUGAUUUAAUCCACAGAAAUCUCUUGAAGAUAAAGGGCAGGGUAGAAAGAAGUGGGGAGUCUUUUGGGUUUGGUGCUGAACUUGGCCUUCGGCAGUUCAUAGGGGCAGGUACUGUUUAGGUUUUGGACCAGGUUCUCUGUGGCAACAGCAGACGGGGGUGUUGGAGAAAGGGCAUGCAAUCGAUGUUACUAGAAUACCUGUUACAGGCCAGGCAUUCUGCUGUGUUGUUUGCUCUCCCCGGGAGGCAUUUAUGAUGUGGAAAUGGAAGCUCAGAAAGAUCUGGCACCUUCCUGGGUCACCUCACUAAGAUGUGGCAGAGCUGGACCUUGUUCAGUUUACAAAGUACUGCCUACACACAGGUGCUGGGACAGCUGGGGUACAAGUCGCAACUUCUAGAAUACUAACCAUGACACGGGGACCUGAGGAGUGUAAGAAGGUCGAUGUUAGAGCCCACUGAGGUGGUCAGGGAGGGGUCACGAGGGUUAAGGGGCUUGCAGUGACUAAUGGGGGGUCUAAUUUUGCACUUUGAUCAGUGAUAAUGGAAAGGGUUAUCUAUAAAGCUGGUAGGAGGUGAUAAUGUGCUUAAUUCUUCUUUCUAAUUCCCUCUCCCAGUCCAAUAACAAAAGCAAGUGAAAGAACCUUUCCUGCGAUGCAUCUUUAUACCUGUGAAAUCAGGUUUUUUAUAGUGCCUGACAGUCCUCCAGGACGCCCUUGUGUUUCUGCCUGUUGUGUUUCCUUUACCUAGAAUGUCUCUCCCUUAUUCACCUGGGGAACAGCUGUUGAACCUUUCAUGCCUCAGUUCAAGCAUCUCUCCUUAGUACUGUUCUCUGGCCCCUCUUGGCCUCCAGCCCCUGGGAGUUGAUCCCGCCACCUGCUCUGCUGUAGCUUCUGUACCUGGUGCUUACUGUGCUUGGCCAGUGUAUGUCUCCAGGUCUGUUUGCUCACUAGACUGUAGCUCCCUGAGGAAGGGGGCCAAUACUUCGCCAUCUUGCAAACAACAGAGCUUGGCAUGGCAGAUGUGUGAGUGAGCGGAUGGCUCGCAAGCUAGCGGGGAGAAUGCGUAGAUAGCCAUUGUUUUAAGUUUCCUCCCGUGAUCUUCAAGGGAAACAAGCAGAAGUAAUUCAGAUGCUGCUGGUGAGCCUCUGGUCCCUGAGCUUUGAGGAUUCAGUGAGAGGGUGCAUGCAAAGCCGUAGGCAGUGCAGAAAAACAGUGUCUGGAAAUCAGAGAAAACAUUUGGUUGGGCUAUCUUGUUAUUUUUUUCUAAAUCUUGUAUAAAUUGUUUAUGUUCUACACUCCUUUGAAUUGUUUUCAUUUUUGGCUUAACUAUUGCAGAUAAUCUCUUUAAAUAAAUUUUUUUGCUUAGUCAUUGUUUAUGGACAAUAUGUUUGCUUGACCUUUCUUUGGCAGUGUUAAAUGUUUGGAUGGAAAGAUCCUAUUUAAAACUUUAGAACUGGUGAACUCUGGGUCCACAUAACAUUACAUUUAAGUGGAAAGGGGUUUUUUGUUGUUGUCCUUUGUUUUGCUUGUUUAAACAAGCCCUUGGAGGGAAUGAGUUUGACCUGACACGUUGUGAUACCGUUGUGUAGUUUCACAUACCCUUCUGGGUUUUUUAUAUGGAUAACCUUGUAGCCAGAUAAAGCCUUGCAAUAGAAGUGUGUGUGUAUGUCUGUGUGUUUCCUUAGAAUCUUUCUUAGUUGGCAAGAGCCAAGAAGUCAAAGCAGAUGACAAAAUCUCUUGGGGCCUAGAAAAAGUGAGAGAGAUUUUCCCCUAAAUCCCCAAAUUUAUGGAGGAACUUUAUUUGUAGGGCAUCUUAUCCAAAGUCACUUUGAUCAGAAACAUAAACAUUUUCAUUUAAUUUGCCUGUUCAAAAAGGGGAGGCUGACUACAAGUUGGACACCAGGAUUCUGGUCCUGCCUCCUCUAUGAACUGUCAGUGUGAUAUUGGGCUUAAUUUCUCUGGGUUCCAGUUUCUCCAUCUGUGAACUUGAGGAUGUUGAGUCUCUGAAGGUUCUUUCAGACUCUGACAUUCUGGGAUUUUAACCUUCAGUCUACUUUUUGGAGUCCGAGAUCUUCAGCUCAGUUUGAUGCUUUUGAUGCCAGGCUCAUGAAUGGGGUGGAGGACUGCAGCAGGACUUUCAGGAAGCUGAGAGUGGUUUAUGGUUAAGGCUGGAGCCUGUGAUGGAUUGAGGGGAAGUGGGAGGCUGGAAAGGCUCAAUGUGAGGGCCCAAGAUAAGAUGACAUGUCCCAGCCCAAUCAGUGAGGCGGGAGAAGGGGGCAGAUUCCUCCUUUCUCUCUUUUUUGUUCUACUCAAGCCCUCCAUGGAUUGGAGGGAAGGCAGUCUGCUCUACUGAGUCCACUGAUACGAAUGCUCAUCUCAUCCAGAAACACCCAGAAAUAGUGUUCACUCUGGGCAUCCCUGAACCCAGUCAGGCUGACACAUAAAAUGAGCCAUCACACAGUCUUACAUAUUUUGUUUUAUUCAAGCUUAUCUCUUCACUAACCCCAAGCACUCAUGCACAUUUCAGUCAGUAAGCCUUCAUUGGUACUCAUACUCUUCUUGAGCCUAUUCAUCUUUAUCUACUGUUUACCCAAAUUCUAUCUCUCCUGAAAGGACCUAGAUAAUCUUUUAAUAGCCCCUGUCUUUCCCGACUUCUCUGUUCAGUCAACAAUUAAUAUUGUUGAUCCUUUAAUAUUACUCUAGUUGUUUAAUGUAUGUGAAGACCAUUGUCCUAAUAUGGUUUUAAGUUUCUUGACACUGGGAAUAAUGUUCAUUCACAUUCUUUUAAAUGCUUUAGGACUUCAGUGCCUGGCACAUGGUAUUGAUAAAAUGAUGAAUGUAGUGAUGAGAAUUAACCUCAGAAGAACUCCAAAUAACUGUACUUAAAUAAGUUUCUUUGUGGGGCGCCUGGGUGGCUCAGUCGUUAAGCAUCUGCCUUUGGCUCAGGUCAUGAUCCCAGGGUCCUGGGAUUGAGCCCUGCAUCGGGCUCCCUGCUCAGCGGGAGACCUGCUUCUCCCUCUCCCACUCCCCCUGCUUGUGUUCCCUCUCUCGCUGUCUCUCUCUCUCUGUCAAAUAAAUAAAAAAAUUAAGAAAUCUUAAAAAAAAAAAAAAAAAAAAAAGGUUUGUUUGUCAUAAAGAAACAAGCCCGAUAGUCCAGGCCUUGUGUGCUGGCUGUGUUCUGUAAAGCCUUCAGGGCACUAUACUUCUAGUUUACUUCUGUGCCAUCCCUAGGGUCUGGUCCUCAUCCUCCUGUUCAGAGGCAGCAUCCCCAUUCCAGAAAACAGGAUGAAGAGAAAGGGCAAAAGGGGCUCACCAGUCUAAAGAGAAGACUUCUAGAAGGUUCUUCCGACCCUUCACUUAUAUUCUGUUAGCCAGAAUUUAAUCACAUGGCUGAAAGGGAGGCUGGGAAAAUCUCUAUUCCAGGUAGCUCUUUCCUAGCUAAAAGUUUAAGUGUUGUGGGGGGUCAGGGCAGGGGGGAGAGAGCACAAUGAGCAGUGAGCAGCGUUUACCACCACUGACUUGCUUGUGCUGCUGAGGGCACCCCCAUGCUGUGCAGAUGUUGAGGCUUUCUUUGUUGAGAUAUUUAGGAGGCAUUUGAUUGGCAUGCAGAAAUUCACCACUGUCGAUUUUGAGUGGGAUACAUGAAACAGUCAAUAUUUAAGGAUGAACAUUCUAGCAGCAAUACAGAAGACGAGUAAGAAUGGGAGAGGAGUUGGGGAGAAGAGGACCAGUUUGGUGGCUGGAGCCAUGAACUCCACGAGAAGCCCUCUCUGAUCUUACUUACAAGAAUGCAAGGCUUUCCUGUCAGGUGAACAACACCUAAUUUUUGACUUUGAAAUUUUACAAUUUGUUUUUCCAGAGUCACUAAAAUGUAGGUAUUCUAAGAGUUAAGGUCAAAGACUAAGCAAAAAUGUUAUUCUGUAUCAAGCCUAAGACUGUCUCAUUUAUGAAAUGGUUUCUAUUAAAGGGGAAUAUAACUUGCACAGAUAAUUCCAAAAAUAUAAUUUGUACCCAUCUUUAUUUUCUGGCUGGAGAAUCCAAGAAAUUGUACCAGUCACAGAAGCAAACAGUAGGGAUGCAGAGUGGACCCGGAAAGUAUUUUCGCUCAGUAAUUAGUUUCGGAAUUAAUAGUCGUUGCAGGCUGCAUUUGAAUCUAUCUAUAGUGACUUUGAUUUUACAUUUUCUUUCUCAUUAAGAUUAUUGUCUUCCUAGGGGAGGUGGGCAGGGGCAUGGGUAUGGGUUAAAUAGGUGGUAGGGACUAAGGAGGGCACUUGUUGUGAUGAGAACCAGUGUUAUGUGGAAGUGUUGAAUCACUGUAUUAUACUCCUGAAAAUAAUAUUACACUGUGUGCUAACUAACUAGAAUUUAAAUAAAAACUAAAAAAAAAAUUCACAAAUCACAUUAUGGCAUAGUAAGGAUAUAACAGAUCUCUGUAGCUUCAUGGUUUUAACAACAAAAGGAUGACUAAAAAUAGAGUCAUUUGAAAAAUAUUAAGCUAUUUCUAAAAAUGUUUCUAUUGCAUGUGAUAAAAGUGGAAAUUCAAAUUUUAAAAAAGUACUCUUGAGGAAAAAAAAUAAAAAGGAAAUUUCCUCUAAAAUAAAAAAAAUUAUUGCCUUCCUAAUAAGAAUUUAUUACUUACUGAAAACAUCUGUAUCAGGAGAGGCAUCUAAGUUUAUCUUUUUUUUAUCUUGCCAGUUUUUAUAGAUCUACUUUUUACUGUAUUAUUAGCAUUACUUAUUGUUAUUUAGUGUACUACUAAAUAUGAAAUAUAAUUUUAUUGCAGUUUAAAAAAUCCUCUAAUUAUGCAUUUAUUCCUUUACUUAGCAUUUCCCUUUGGCCUCAUUCUAAAAAGGACUUGAGGUCUCGCUUUCAUUAUGUUGAUGUUCUUAUUCUUGGUCUCUUAACACAAAAAAAUAAUCUAAGACUUUGUCUUCACUGACUGUAUGUAUUCUGUACCUGGUCCCCUGAUAUGUUUGACUGUUGGGCUCUGGAAAAGCACCUUGUAGUUCACUCUGAUACUCCUUUUUUUUUCUGUGUAUGGGAAAUUGGACUUAUUUUCAUUUGAAAAGAGUUGCAUGUUCUGUGUGGUAUCUCUUGCUACUGGUUAUUACUGAAGCAGAGAAUGUCCAGGGGUUAGGGGAUGAGGUGGAAGAAGACGCUCUCCUAGGACUGGCCUUCAGCACUUGUGCUGCUGUGACGUCAGCAGAACACGGGAGUCUUGCCAUCAGGUUUGGGUCACGGUCUCUUUUGUAAUGACCUGAGGUAUAAACCAUUGAGCUCCUUAGUGUUAAACAGACCACAUGUCUUCUCAGUGAGAUUAUUUGAACUUUGGUUAUAAAUGAAGCUUAUCAUAGGGUUUCUUUUUUUUUUUUUAAGAUUUUAUUUAUUUAUUUGAGAGAGAGAGAGACUGAGAGAGAGAGCACAUGAGAGGGGGGAGGGUCGGGAGGGUCAGAGGGAGAGGCAGACUCCCUGCCGAGCAGGGAGCCCGAUGCGGGACUCGAUCCAGGGACUCGAUCCAGGGACUCGAUCCAGGGACUCCAGGAUCAUGACCUGAGCUGAAGGCAGUCGCUUAACCGACUGAGCCACCCAGGCGCCCCUAUCAUAGGGUUUCUGAGUGGAGGCUGAGAGUGUUGGGUUAACCCUGAUUACCAGUGGUAUCCCUCCUGAACAAAGCAAUCCCAAGCGUGUUUGAGCUCUACCUCCACUGACUGUUUCUCAGAUUAAAGGAAAUUCUUACCAGUAGAGUAUAUUUGGAAAGAGGGGUGGGUGGGAUCAUGCCUAGGCUGGCUCUGUAGGUGAAAAGUGACAAUAUGGUCAUUGGUUUUAAGUGUGGGGAUUUUUCUUUUUCUUUUUCUUUCUCUUUCUUCUUCUUCCUCUUCUUUUUUUUAAAGUAAACUCUACCCCCGGCAUGGGGCUCAAACUCAUGACCUCGAGAUCAAGAGUCAUAUGCUCUGCGGACUGAGCCAGCCAGGUGCCCUGAAGUGUGUGGAUUUUUCACAGCACGUAACUCAUCAGUGUUUACCUCAUUAUUCGAGCAUGGCACUACUAAUUUAAGAUGAAAUGAAAAUCUGAGCUUGUUUCUAUUUCAGUAUUGUCCAAACAACUGUAAAUACUGGUUAAUUCAUUAUGGAUAUUUGGUGCCCAGGAAAGAAAUAUUGAUCAAGUUUGUAAUAUUUUCUUUCUUUUUGAGCUCUUACAUUUUUUAGAAAACAGGUACUAUACCUAUUAGAUCACUGAGUACCAUACAGACUCAGUGAGUGCCAUUAAUGAGGUAGGGGUAAUCUCACCUUCCCUGUCAGUCGUUCAUUCGGCAUUAGAAGGGUUCCACUGUUGCCUGUCCGCUGUCUGGAAUGACUUAUUCUUUCCUUGCGUUUUGAUAUUCAUUUAACACUUUUUAUUUUUUGCCUUAUUGGUAUUCCUCUCAUUUUUGUAUGUAUUUGUGAGUCCCUUGACUUUGAUAAACCCUCAAAUUCAUAAGUACAACUGUAUUUCUCAUGUUAAGUAGAGUAUAAUUGAAGAGCCUAAGAGACCACUUCAGACCUGUAGUGAUUGUAAAAGGACUAAAGUCAUAAGCUAAUAAUUUGUUAAAUUAUUAUAAGUAAACUGCUCUGUGUCGUGCCAGUCUUUAUUGCAUUGUCCUUAUAUAGGCAAGGACUUCAACAGCCAUACCCUGUGAUGCCCUAGGGUUGGUAAAACAAGUCAGGCUUGAUCCUACAAUCUGCCAUAACCACAGAGAAGAGUCAUUUGGCCUUCGGCAAUCAUCAGCUUUUAUCCUGGCCUCUCCCUGAGUUGGAUGAGUUAGUUGACAAAAGCUUUUUUUCCCAAGGCAGUUUGGUUUGUGCUGAUCCCUUGUUCUAGCCAUUGGCCCUUAU